UACGAAGGGGGCGAGCGUUGUUCGGAAUUACUGGGCGUAAAGGGCGCGCAGGCGGCUCUGAAAGUCAGAUGUGAAAGCCCCGGGCUUAACCUGGGAAUUGCAUUUGAUACUCUGGAGCUUGAGUGUGGGAGAGGAGAGUGGAAUUCCCAGUGUAGCGGUGAAAUGCGUAGAUAUGUGGAGGAACACCCGUGGCGAAAGCGGCUCUCUGGCCUAUAACUGACGCUGAGGCGCGAAAGCGUGGGGAGCAAACAGG
rnacentral:rRNA from 1 species